rnacentral:lncRNA from 1 species
UCAGGUUCUGCAGGGCACUGGCCACUUCUGCACAGCCAGGCCUUCCCACCCUACCCCCGAGAUUCACACAGCAGGGUCCACUCCCUCCCAGGCUUGGCUUCCCCAGGCUGAGGGCUGGGCAUUGGCACCCUUCCACAGACCACAUGAGUCAGCUCCCUCCCCACCCAACAAGGCCAGUGCUGGCUCUGUCUGAGGUCCCUUUGUUCAGGUCUCUUCUGAAGAAAGGCACCAGAGGCUCCAGCUCUGGCCAUAAUGCCCCAGAUGAAGCUUGACAGGAGAACUGGACACAACAGGCCAGUUUCUGAAGAAACUGGCCAAGCUGGCUUCGAACCGGCAGCCAAGAGAACUCCGUGGAGUAUGUCAAGCAGGAUCUUGCCUAAGAACACAGAUGUUUCCCUAGGAUCACCAGCUGUCAUGGACUGAUUUGUGUCUCUCCAAAUUCAUAUGUUGAAUACUUAACCUGCCAUGCGAUUGUGAUUGGAGAUAAUUCCUUUAGGGAAGCAAUGAAGGUUAAAUGAGGUCAUAGGUGGGAGCUUAAUCCAAUGGGACUGGGGUCCCUACAAGAAGAGGAAGACACCAGAGCUCUCUGUCUCCACACACAGAGAAAAGAGGCUGUAUGAGGACACAAGAGAAGGUAAUAGCUGUCUACAAACCAAGAAGAGAAGCCUCUCCAGAAAAUGAACCCUGCUGGAACUUGGUCUUGGACUUUCCAGCCUCCAGAACUGGGAGAAAAUAAAGUUCAAAAUAAAGUUCUGUUGUGUAAGCCCCCGAGUCCAUGGUAUUUUGUUAUGGCAGCCCUAGCAGACUAAUAACACCUGCUAAUUAAACUGCUUGUUCUCCACUUGUUGUCUCAGGGUCUGUUCCUAGGGAACCUGGACUCAGACAGAUGCUCUGCUUAAUUAGACCCCAGGGAAAUGUAAAUGAAAACCACGUGUGAUGCCAUGUCACAAGUACUAGGAUAACCAGAAGGAAAUCUGACCACAUCGGAUGCUGGUGAGGUUGGGAAGCUGUCAUAUUUAGCUGACGGAGGUGUGAGUCGGCAAACCACUUUGGAAAAC